CUUGGAGGCUCUUUUUUUCAGCCAAUGUUGAGGAGGAAAAUAGGGUAAGAAACAAAUGUGUCAAACCCUCCUACAUGGCCAAGGUAACAUCAUAGGAGUAGGGUCAGGUUUCGAAGACGAAGAAGUAUAGGACAGUGGUCAAAAAACCAGAAAGGCAAGAGUGUCAAACUGGAAUCCAAAAAGGGGGACGAUUGCCAAGGAAGCCCAUGGACAAGCUUUUUUCAAGGUCCAUGCUUUAACUGUAACAAGUUGGGUAUCGUGCUUUUGAGUGUAGAAAACCCAAUGCAACCUCGAGCCUCACGCACAUAUGACUGAGGUUAUCACCGAGGGGUAGAUGAUAUCAACCUUCGGCCAUGGUGUCUGAGCGAAUAUGGUGGAGUCAAACACACAAGGGAAGGGUGGAUAGACACUGGGGCUAACUCGCCAUGUCUGUUGAUAGACGGAUGUUCACUACCUUCAAGCUAGCGGCAAAGGUGAGAAGGGUUUUGAAAAAAUUCAGCCACAUCCGACGUUGAGGGGAUAUGAAAAAGUCGUCCUGAAACUGAUUCAUGAAAGGAGCGGAUCGAACAAUGGGUUAUUCGUUUGACGUGUGAGGAUACGGAAGUUAAUCUGGUGUACUGGCUCUCUAUUGAAAGACAUGGUUUCGUAUGAUUUGUGAGGCAGAAAGAAGUACCGUUCAAAGGCUCGGAAUGUCUGUAGGGAGGUUAUAUAAUCGAUGGUCUAUUCACAAAUAAAUGUAAUGACGGAAUCCUUACAAUUAAUAAGAAACAAAUUCAGUUGUUUAUGUGCUGAGUCUUCCAUUUGUGGCAUGGUAGCUAGGGAAUGUUAAUUAUAGAUUCUAUGCGUAGACUAAUUACUUGGAAUCACAGUCAGCAUUCCAAUUGCAUAAAAAUUCCAAGUGUGAGUUGUGUUGAAGCAAAAUUAACUAGGUCUUCAUUUCAAUUCGAUUGAAAGAAGUACCGAACCAUUAAUUUUUAAUUCACACUGGAUGUUGUGAUUAAAGUAUUUCCAAACACCCAAUAACUAAUAAAGAUUCAUACAGUUCAUUGAUGAUUGUACGCAAUUAUUAUGUGUGUACUUUGCUAAAGAGUAAGGAUGAAACUUUUGGACAAAUUUCAUUUCUAUAAGAAUGAAGUAGAAAUCAACUUAAGCAAAGAUAAGGUUGGUGUGAAGUGCCUGAGGUCGUGAAAUGGAUCACUGUUUGAGGAUUACUAUGGAGAAUACGGAAUUAUUUAUCAAACCACUGGAACCUUAUUCUCUUUAGCAGAUGGAACUGUUGAACGAAAGAAUCGUACCCUAAAAGAUAUGAUGAAUACUAUGUUGAUAAGUUCUAGAUGCCUCGAACAGUGGAGUGAAGCGAUCUCACUGCCAACUAUAGCUUGAAUAUAAUGCCCUCGCAGAAUUGGAAUAAAAACCCCUAUGGUUUUUAAAGUAGGGAGUCCUACUUAUAACUUUAAACGUACAUGUGGUGUCUUACGAAGGUGCCAUACCUCCUCUAAGAAGGAAAAGAUUGGUCCAAAACCUUUUGAUUGGUGUCAUUCGGUUAGGCACAAAAUAGCAGUGCAUAUCGAUUCUUGUUGUAUGAGUCUACAAUACCAGAUAUCAAUAAGCAUACCGCCAUUGAGUCUAUGAAUUGCAUCGUUUUUCGAACAUAUAAUUUCCAGAUAGAUCCAUUGUUAUGUGGUCGAGUUCAUUUAAUGGACUCUACUCCGCUAAUGAACAGUCAACCAAGACCAAAAAGAUGAAUUUGAAUGAAUUGAGAUGUAGCAAGAGAGCUAGAAUGUAAAAUCCUUUUGGUCCAAACUUCCUAACUUUAAGAUGUAGAAAGUUGAGUCCCUCAGACUAUAAGGAACGUGAGCUGUCCCUGAAGGUCCUUGUGGAAAUAGGCUAUUUAAGAGUGAGAUUGAAUCCAUUUCUUCUGCAAAAUCGACGUGAGAACUAGUAAAUUUACCGCAAGGCAGUAAGCCUUUGGGCUACAAUGGAUCUUCCCAAAGGACGUGAAAGCAGAUGGAUCAAUAAUAAGUAUAAAGGAAAAAAAAAAAAAAAACAAAAAGCUAGUUUGUUAUCAAGGAUUAUAGACAAAAAGAAGGUCAGACUAUUUUGAUACUUAUUCACCAUUUCGAGAAUUACAUCAAUUCUGAUGAUAAUUUGCGAUCGCAGCUCUUGCGAAAUCUCGAGAUAAAAUCGUAUGGAUGUAAAGACAAAACCGCUUUCCUGAAUGAGAUUAGAUGAAGAAAUCUACAUGGAACAACCGAGGGUUUUUCCGCACGGUGGGAAAGAAGAAAAAGUCUGUAGACUGUAAGAUCAUUGUAUGGUCUCAUCAAGCACCGAAACAAUGGCAUGAGAAGUUUGACAAUGUUGUAUUUGUCUAUGCUACAAAAAUCAACGAAUGGUGAUAAAUGUGUAUAUGUCGAACACAGACGCAGGGUACGUCAUAGUUUGUAUCUUACAUUGAUGACAUAAUUAUUGUUGUAUAACGAUAAAGUUAUCAAAUCUACCA
rnacentral:lncRNA from 1 species